rnacentral:lncRNA from 1 species
CAUUGCUUGCAACUUUAAUUUCCUAUGUAAUUUUAUUUGGCAACCCUUUUUGGGUCAACCGCCCAAGUAGUUCAUGAGUCGAAUUGUCCAUUUUCUAAAUCCUUUUGAAAUCUCCUGGUCGGGAUUGUUAAUGAGUUAGCGAACUAAGGGUACAUUUUGAUUUUGAUUUGACCAGCAUUUCUAUUCUAAGGCUGAGUUUCAUUGCUGCAACGGUAGUAUAUGGUCCAAAAGACCUCUUUUUGAUAGAGCAAAUCCUCUCCAUCACUAUUAAAACUGAAAUCUUACUUGUAUUGCAAUACAAGUGAGGGAGGGAAUUCACGCCAGAUGAAACAAGGCUUUUUGAACCAUAUACUGCUGCUGUUGGAAUGAAACGUGGUCUCAGAAUAGGAUUUGACUGGCCCUGAUGGUGGAACUAGCAAUUUUUGGAAGAAAGCAGCAAUGUAGUGCAAGCGAGCUGUGACUUCUCCAAACCCAGCCCAGCAGCUUAUAUAAGAUAUAGUGAUUAAGGUAUGAUUAAUCAUAUAAUUAAGACUGUUGAAUUUCAAAUGCCUUUUCCUUUAUGUAUUUUAAGUUGGAUAUCAAAUUUGAACCCCAGAACUGAUCAGUAGUUGUUCCUUGUAAAAGUUCUGCAGUUUAUUUCACGUAGAUUUUGAUUCAAACAUAUAAAAACGAACUCAAUUCUUUCCUUCUCCUUAGUUAACCUGCUUAAAUGCUCUCUUCGAUAAGAAUUUAUGCUACAGAGAGUACACAUGACUAUGUGUAAUCAUGGACGAAUGUGCUAGCUCUCCUAUUUUUCCUGCCACUUGAUUCACCUAAUAUUUUGUGACUUAUUUUAAUUUCUUUUUUUUUUUAUUAACAUUUUAGAUAUUUUAUUUAAAUAUUUUUAAUUGACUUAAAAAGUUAUGACUUUUUUUAUAUAUAAUAUUUUGUAUUAUAAGUUGUUUGCAAUCUAUUGAUGCUCCAAAAAUCAUAAUUUUCUCCAGUAAAAAUUGGAAAUGGGAUAUAAGUUUGGCUAGCGGUAGACAUGAUGGAGGACUAUAUCGAACCCUUACACCAAGGUGACCGAACUUUGCUUUGAUACCAUUGUUGGUUAAAUUUAUGGCAGAACAAUGGAGUGAUUUUAUUUAUUCAACAAUAGAUGAGUACAAGGCCUUAUAGAGGACUAGACUUAUUGUCCUUUCUAAAAUGUUUACUAGGCUUAUUGGCCUCCUUCCUAUUUUCUGACUUAUUGGCCUCUUCUUCCUUACUACUAGUUUACAAUAUAAUAGUAUUACAAGAUUUUUAUUAGGAUUUUUCUAGAAUGCCUACAACAAUUAUGCCUUAAAGCUUGACUUUGUCAAAGUUGGUGGACAUUUAUUGAGGUUUCUACUUUUUUCUAGACUUCAAGACAAGUGUGCAUUAAAUUUAACAAUUUCACUCAUAUACACGUAAACGCGUAGUGAGAUCAAGGAAGGAGUCUGCACUGCAGAGGAUAGUGAUUCCACCCAUGGAAUGAUCAUAUCAAAUAUGAUAUCGGAAUCACAGAUCGCUUCUUCUGGCUUCCCCCAACAUACACCGCAAAAUAGCCUUUUGGGAUAUCUAAGGUCUUCGAGGCAGGUACGUGGUUUAGACUUCUCUUUGGGUUAACAAUUCCUGGCAACCAGAACCCCAUGGUGCUAGAUUUUUAACCGGAACUAGAACAAGAAAACGAAUUCAAUGGAGUUGGGAAACAAAAGGCUUGGAGGGUUUGCAAGCAGAGACUUGAGUUGAUCAUGAUAAAGCUGUUCUCUCAUGUAUAUAUAGAUGAAAGGGUGUGGCGAAAUUAAAUCAUCUGCUACAUGAAAUGAGUUGGGAAGAGGCACAAAUGAAGGACACUAGGUUGUGAGCAAUCAAGAAAUCAUCUUUAUAUAGAAACAUAAUUCCCUAGAGACAAGAAGGGACCACCAGAAGAUAAACAUUUUCAAUCUGGUAAGCAGUCAUCAAAGAUUAUUAUUAGAUAAGAAGUAUACUUGAGACAUACACACUUCUCUUUGUGCUCACAAACUCGAUUGAACAAAUUGGAAGACUGAUUAAUAAUUUGUGGAUUAGGUAACCAAUUCAUGGCUUCUUCUUUGUUAUUAAAUUCAACCUCAAUCAAGAGAAAGACCAGCACUGUACUGCGUCUGUUGUGGUCCCAUUCAGAACUAAUACAAAAAAGCUUGACCAAAUAAACAAAACAAGAUAGUUUCUUAGCUGUUGACCAUGGAAAUAAGGGAUGAAAAACUCCAAAGCCACAAAUUCUAUGGUUAUUCAUGGUUCUCUCAAACUAUAAGUAUCCCUUCGUAUCCCGGCCAAAUGCAAAAGUUUCAUAACACCACCAGUUCUUGUUUGUAAAGCAGCAUUAACUGAGACACCAACAUACGCAGUAGAGUUAGUCCAAAACAAAUAGUAACCAUGAAAUUCAAGCAUAGCAUAUCCCCGAGAAAAUACUAAGAAGUCCAAUUUGGUAAUUUGUGUUAGGUAGUGAGCGCCAAGAGAAGUAAAUGUCUCGGGCCUGCCCCUACUGGAAAAGAGGUAGGGAAUAAUGUUUCAAC